CUGCGCGCGGUGAUUGGCUCCGCCGCCGCAGCUGCGCACGAGCCGACCCUCACGGACGCCCCCCUCCUCCAUCGACCCCUUCCUCGCUUUGUCUGUUAAUGGAUGCGUGUGCCGUCCUUCACUUUCUUCCCGUUGGUGUCAGUUGUACCCGCUGGGUCUCAUAGAGCAUGUCUAAUUCCUCUCAUACAAGACAGCAUGGCGACAACUAUUACCACGUGUGUCCCCCCAUCAUCUACUUUCUAAACUAAACAUCUUCAGUGCCUCCUAUUACCUCGUGUGACAUUUGCCAAGAUGAAACUGCUAUUGGUCCCUGUGUUUUUCUCUUUGAAAGCCUUUGCUGAGGGAUUUGCCAUGGUGCCUUAACUCCAGAGAAUCUAAAGCUCUAGGAAGAGUCCCUGAUAAGAGUAACUGAAGAAACCACAAGCAGGAGACUGGCCAAUCUGCCAGGUAGUUACAGAAAUUUUGGACAGAUUUGAGAGGGGAAGACCCAUCCAAAAUACUCAAUUACUAGUAUGAUUUCUUUUCAAUGGAUGGCUUGAAGUAAAGCAAUUGAAGUUUGAUGAAGCCUCAUCUGACAGUAAUUAAAGCCAGGACACUACUACAACAUGAAACAGAAGUGAAGGAAGAAUGGUAAGCCCUCUAGUCUUAUUCCUGAUAUUAAAGAGAAUAUUUUCAAUACUUCUCCAUUACUUAUGAUGUUUGUUUGCUGUUGGAGUGCUUUUACAGAUUUUCUGAAGUUAAUGAAGUUACUUCCUUUUGAAAAUUCUUCCUAGUUGCUAAGAGUUUAUAUCAUGAACACAUGUUGAAUUUUAACAGUACAUUUUUCUGUAACUGUUGAGAUAAUUGUAUCAUUUUCUUCCCUUUAAUUUAUUAAUGUAUUGAAUCAUAGUAAUUGACUUUCUAAUGUUAAAACUAAGUUUACAUUUUGGGGAUAAUUCCAGCUCACUCAUGAUGUAUUAUUACAUUGCUAUGUUGCUGAAUUCAGUUUGCUAAUAUUUUUGUGUAGAAUGUGCCUAUGUUCAUAAACACAGGCAUAUGACAUUGGAUUUAGUUUGCAUUUCUUGUGCCAUCAUUGCCAAGUUUGCUGUUAAGAUUGGGCUACACUCAUACAUUCUGGAAUAAUUUUUAUAAAAAUGACAUUAUUUGUUCCUUGAAUGUUUGAUAUCAUUUAGCAAAACUGCCUGGAGCUGGAUAACUUUUUGUGGGGAUAUUUCAUACUAUUGCUUGAGUAUUUUUAUUUAUUAUAGAGCUAUUCAUAUUUUCUAUUUCCUUUUGAAUCACUUUUGGUGAUUUUUCUAAGGUUUGUCAAUUUUAUCUAAAUUUUUCAGUGUGUUGGCAUUAAGUUGUUCAAAAGACUAUUUUCUUUUUAUUAUAUGUAAUCAUGUUUUUUACAUUUAAUAUAUGCAGCAGGGCUCCUGGGUGGCUCAGUUGGUUAAGCGUCUGACUUCGGCUCAGGUCAUGAUCUCGCGGUCCAUGGGUUCGAGUCCUGUGUCGGGCUCUGUGCUGACAGCUCAGAGCCUGGAGCCUGUUUCGGAUUCUGUGUCUCCCUCUCCUUCUGACCCUCUCCCAUUCACGCUCUGUCUCUCUCUGUCUCAAAAAUAAAUAAACGUUAAAAAAAUUUUAAUAUACGCAGCUAUUUUUUACAUUUUUACAUUACACAAUCUUCACAUUUACAUCAGAAAGUCAAUUACUAUUGUUAACUUGUGCCUCCUCUUUCUCUCUCUUUCAUUAAUUUUGCAGAGAGUGUUAAUUUUUUUAGCCUUUUGAAAAAUCUUUGGUUUUGUGGAUAUUCUUUAUUAUGUGUUCAUUAUCUGCUUUAAUCUUUGUUGUUUCCUUCCUUCUACUUUUUUUUCAAGUUCAUUUAUUUAU